CCUACGGGAGGCAGCAGUAGGGAAUAUUGGACAAUGGGCGAGAGCCUGAUCCAGCCAUGCCGCGUGCAGGAAGAAGGCCUUUGGGUCGUAAACUGCUUUUCUCUGGGGAUAGGUACCAGAGGAAUAAGCCACGGCUAACUACGUGCCAGCAGCCGCGGUAAUACGUAGGUGGCAAGCGUUGUCCGGAUUUAUUGGGUUUAAAGGGUGCGUAGGCGGCCCUGUAAGUCAGUGGUGAAAUACGGCAGCUCAACUGUCGAGGUGCCAUUGAUACUGCGGGGCUUGAGUACUGAUGAGGUAGGCGGAAUUGACGGUGUAGCGGUGAAAUGCUUAGAUAUCGUCAAGAACACCGAUAGCGAAGGCAGCUUACUAAGCAGUACUGACGCUGAGGCACGAAAGUGCGGGGAUCAAACAGGAUUAGAUACCCUUGUAGUC
rnacentral:rRNA from 1 species